ACUGCUCAGUAACACGUAGUCAACAUGCCCAGGGGACGUGGAUAACCUCGGGAAACUGAGGAUAAACCGCGAUAGGCCAAGAUUUCUGGAAUGAAUCAUGGUUUAAAUCUAUAUGGCCCCUGGAUUGGACUGCGGCCGAUCAGGCUGUUGGUGAGGUAAUGGCCCACCAAACCUGUAACCGGUACGGGCUCUGAGAGGAGGAGCCCGGAGAUGGGCACUUAGACAAGGGCCCAGGCCCUAUGGGGCGCAGCAGGCGCGAAACCUCUGCAAUAAGCGAAAGCUUGACAGGGUUACUCUGAGUGAUUUCCGCUAAGGAAGUCUUUUGGCACCUCUAAAAAUGGUGCAGAAUAAGGGGUGGGCAAGUCUGGUGUCAGCCGCCGCGGUAAUACCAGCACCCCGAGUGGUCGGGACGAUUAUUGGGCCUAAAGCAUCCGUAGCCGGUCCUGCAAGUCCUCCGUUAAAUCCACCCGCUCAACGUUGGGCCGCGGGGGAUACUACAGGGCUAGGAGGCGGGAGAGGCAAGCGGUACUCGAUGGGUAGGGGUAAAAUCCACUGAUCCAUUGAAGACCACCAGUGGCGAAGGCGGCUUGCCAGAACGCGCUCGACGGUGAGGGAUGAAAGCUGGGGGAGCAAACCGGAUUAGAUACCCGGGUAGUCCCAGCUGUAAACGAUGCAGACUCGGUGAUGGGCUGGCUUCGUGCCAACCCGGUGCCGCAGGGAAGCCGUUAAGUCUGCCGCCUGGGGAGUACGGUCGCAAGACUGAAACUUAAAGGAAUUGGCGGGGGAGCA
rnacentral:rRNA from 1 species